rnacentral:lncRNA from 1 species
UUGAGGCCGAGUAGGUCAGGCCAGAUCAAGAUUUUGCAUCAAACCUAGCCUCACCUGACCUUGGCUUAGCCGAUAGUGGAUAUCGUAUAAAGAGCAGACAUUGACCGCAUACAGUAUAAUAUGAUAUUAGACCACAUAUUAUAAAUAAUAAAGAAAAUGAUAUAAAUAAGUGGGCUGAAGUCAGGCUGGGUUGUGCCGGGCCCCAACCGAGACAACAGUUCUUGUGGGUCAGAUUGUGAUGACGUCUACCCAGCCCAUUUGCAUCCCUGUAGAAACAAUUUAAGCAAUGGAGUGAUUAAGCAAUUUAUUUUAGACCCAAUUAAUCCGCAAGUGGUUCGAAUUGGGUUGGGGAGGAGGAUGCAUGAUCUGAACCCAAACAUGCUAUAUUGCAAACCAAAUCC